UACGUAGGGGGCAAGCGUUGUCCGGAAUCAUUGGGCGUAAAGAGCGUGUAGGCGGCCCGAUAAGUCCGCCGUGAAAGUCCAGGGCUCAACCCUGGAAUGCCGGUGGAAACUGUCGGGCUGGAGUCCGGAAGAGGCGAGAGGAAUUCCUGGUGUAGCGGUGAAAUGCGUAGAUAUCUGGAGGAACACCGGUGGCGAAGGCGGCAUCCUGGACCGGUAUUGACGCUGAGGCGCGAAAGCUAGGGGAGCAAACGGG
rnacentral:rRNA from 1 species